CCAGAUUCUGGUUUCUAAUCCCAUUCUCCAAAACAGAAAACAGAGCUCCUGGGAGAGACAGUUCCAGUUCCAAGAUCAGGGCAGGAAGUACAUGAAGGAGUGUGGAACAUGCUGUAGCCAAGAGACCACUUCGCACACUCCAAGCCUCCAUGACAGCGGCCUCAAACGAGGAGGCCAAAUAAGCCCUCCGACCUGACCUUGUCUUUGCCAGGUAUCCAGACACAACACCAGUAACUAGGGUUGCCGAGAUGACUCAGCAGGAAUUCAGUUAACACCAGGCAUGGGGUGCACGCCUGGAACCCUGAAGCAGGGGAGACACAGCAGCAGGAGGACUCCUUUCUGCUACUACAGUGACAAUAAGACCAAGCCCACAACACAUGCUGUGGAGAGACAGUACUGGGAGUAGCUAGGCAGGUUCCUGGUGCCUGCACCUGCCUGUGAGCUGCACAAGACCCAUCAGGAGAUUUCCCGGCAGAGGAGAGGGAGCAAGAGUAAAACAGAAACAUAAAAUGUGGAGCGGUCCCUUCUCACUGAGUGGUUACAUGUGGGGCCGAGGGAGAAGGAUCGUGGUCCGGAUGCCGCGUGGAAUACUUAGUUCUCAUAACUUGGUAAAUCUCAGAAGCACACAGCCAGGAAGAGAAAGCCGGGAGGGAGGAACUGCAGUCAAUGGGAGACAGGUCUGUCAGGAGAAGUCUGCAGAGCCUGAGACAUGUGCUGCCUCUUUUCAUCCGCCAUGGGUGCACACUGUCCACACACAAGGCAGAUACCGAGGCUGAUGUACCAACUCCUCCAGCUAACUCAGCAGCGGCUGGCAUCACCGAGAGUCAAAACACGGGUUCUGGCUUCCUCGCAAAACCAGAAGCUAGUUCUGCCCAGUGCUGACCCAGAGGGCUGCUCUAAGGUUAGCUAUACCCCGGUGUGGGAAAUCACUUCCCAGCCCCUGUCAAGUCUUCCCUCAACUUAAGUCUUCUGAAAGCACUCAGGAGAUGCUAAGAGCAGAGCAUGCUGGGAAGUCGGGUGCACUCUCUAGGACCAACACAUAAAACCAGUCUUGGGAAGAACCUAGCAGGGUGAGGAAGAGCCUUAGGGAACACAACUCCCAACCAUUAACACAAGUCGGCACCCAGGGAUGAGGACGGGUCAUCUCCAGUCUGAAGGCUUCAAUCCCGGAAAGGAAGGAUGCAGGUGGCGUUAGCCACUGGCACUGUAAGAGCUAAGGGCUCAGUUAACCCCGGCUGCACAGAGAGGUCUGGGUGGGGCACCACCCGCUACAGAGACCACAGGACUGCAUGCGUUUAGAGAAGGGGGGCUCAGCUCGUCACCUCAGAAGAGUCCUGAGUGCGGAGUGAUUUCAUAGGCCACACCACAGGCUCGCUUCCCAGGUACACACGGGGUUUCUCGUACAUUAUUAAAAGUAGCAGCCUGUGGCUACGCUACGCUUCAGCCCCAGAGCUCAUUAGCUUGAGUGAAUCUCCACGACCGCAGUGGAGCCAUAAAGGAGCAGUCGUCCUCCACCGUAUAAAUUGAUAACUUUCUUCCUGUUUUAUGGCUCCGUUUAUGUCCACUUUAUAAGGUUUUGCGUUUUACUGACCAGGUUUCAGCGUGUGCGCUCCGCUUACCCUGGGGGUGUGGCCGAGUAGAUUUGAAUCUUCCAGGAAGUUUUGCUCUCUGCCUCUCUUUUGCACUAAACCUGGGCUAAGAAAUUAGAAAUAACAACCACCACCGCUACCCCACCCACCACCCUGCCAAGCAAGCUCUUUAUGUAGGCACAGGCACGCAACCUGUUCAAGGCCAUUCAAUACGGAAGAGACUCUGGGAGAACUUCGGGGCCAUGGAUGUGUGGAGAAACUAGAUCUACAGAAGUGUGGGAGCAAAUAAGUAAACCAUGGGCCAAUGGGAUGACUCGGUGGCCAACGCACCAAGCCUCAGGACUUGAGUUCAAUCCCCAGCACCCACGAGGGAGGAGGAGAAAAACUAAUUUAUCUUCUGACCACCACACAGGCACUGGGGCGUGCUGUCCGGGAGUGCACACGCAAAAUACUUACACAAAUAAGUGGGAACGUCUGCGUAAGUAAGAUGCAAAGUGACAAAAUUAGCUUGAUAAUAAAAGUGUCUAAUUACUCAAGGUGAAGCACUGGGAGAAAUGCCAGAGAAACCCGGAACCACCAAUCAAGUUCUGAGGCAAAUAAACACUCAAGCCAAUUAACUAUCUAGCGAUGCUUAAACUUAAAGAUCAAGUAUGUGACCGCGAUAAAUGGGAGAGGGGACUAAUUUCUAGGUUACUUUUCCCUUUGUUUGUUUGUUUUUGUUUGUUUGUUUCUGACAGGGUCUCCGUUAAGUCAGACUGGCCUUGAUCUGCUCCUCCUGCCUCAGCUUCCCAAGUGCUGGGUUACAGAGAGUUUACAGGCCACCAUGCCCAGCCCCUUCAUCUUGAUUUCUUGGUCAAUGUCCGUUGUCAACUCUCUUUCCUAAUAAUGCACACGGUAAGCACGCCACGAAGAGACUGAUCCGUGGGAAAAAUGGAAGACCGAAUAAUAACAGUAACAAUCAUAACCACAAAUAAUAAAAACUAAACAACAUGACCUUGACAGAAAA